AAGGUCUCCGUUGGUGAACCGGCGGAGGGAUCAUUA
rnacentral:rRNA from 1 species